AUAGCUCAGUUGGUUAGAGUAAAUGACUCUCCCGCCAUGGGCGGGACAUUAGGCCCUAGGUUCAAGUCCUAGUGGGCCCA
rnacentral:tRNA from 1 species